rnacentral:miRNA from 1 species
UGAAAAGCUAGAACGAUUUAC